UACGAAGGGGGCUAGCGUUGUUCGGAAUUACUGGGCGUAAAGCGCACGCAGGCGGCUCGAUAAAUUAGAAGUGAAAGCCCCGGGCUUAACCUGGGAAUUGCUUUUAAGACUGUCGGGCUAGAAUCCAGAAGAGGGUAGUGGAAUUCCGAGUGUAGAGGUGAAAUUCGUAGAUAUUCGGAAGAACACCAGUGGCGAAGGCGACUUCCUGGACAGAUACUGACACUGAGGCACGAAAGCGUGGGGAGCAAACAGG
rnacentral:rRNA from 1 species